rnacentral:rRNA from 1 species
GCUUGUCUCAAAGAUUAAGCCAUGCAUGUCUAAGUAUAAACAUCUUUAUACUGUGAAACUGCGUACAGCUCAUUAUAUCAGUUAUUAUUUAUUUGAUGGUAUCUUACUACAUGGUAUAACUGUGGUAAUUCUAGAGCUAAUACAUGCGUAAAAUCUCGACCUCACGGAAGGGAUGUAUUUAUUAGAUAAAAACCAAUGGUCCCUCGGGAUCUUUUAUGGUGACUCAUAGUAACUGUUCGAAUCGCAUGGCUUCGGCUGGCGAUAGUUCAUUCAAAUUUCUGCCCUAUCAGCUACCGACGGUAGUGUAGUGGACUACCGUGGCGUUAACGGGUAACGGGAAAUCAGGGUUUGACUCCGGAGAGGGAGCCUGAGAAACGGCUACCACAUCCAAGGAAGGCAGCAGG